CAGCAACCCAAAAGGGAGGAAAGGGAACCUACACAGUCCUGGGGGGACUUCCAGGAGGCCCCCUAAAUGGCCUUGGGCUGACUCUGCCAGCCAGGAUGGGAGGGAGGAGACGUCUGUUGGAUUGAUCAGAAUUAAGUGAGUAACUCUUGGCCACUCUACAUCCCGGCGAAACGGACGGCUGAAACAUCACUGCUCACUGUGCCUGAGAGUGUGUUCCUUCCUCACUGGGGGGCACUCGUCUGCUUUAACCUUGGCCACUAUGGCUCAACUUUGAGAGGAAACCACGGGAGUCAGGAAGGGACAACAACACUCUGCAGAGCUAGACGACCAAAUGGAGCAACACUGGGGACCCGUCAGCCAUAGAAGUUGACGCCAGCUGAUCGUCCCAUCCGAACGAAUGAACAAGUGGUUGAAUGAAUAAUGAAUGAAUGCGUCUUACUCAAGGGAACCAUGGGUAUCUAAACAGUGCUUAGCAAAAGGAAAAGCUAAAUCUGCCCAAACAAUGUAAAAACAAUGAGACUUACCUAGGACUCUAGAGAAAGCAGCACAAAUCCCCAUUGGCCGCUCAUUUGCAUACGCCACGGCAAUUCCCCCCCACUCUCCA
rnacentral:lncRNA from 1 species